UGAUGUGCAGCGUUUUCUUCCGGAUUCA
rnacentral:sRNA from 1 species